GACAGAGGGUGCAAACGUUGUUCGGAAUUACGGGGCGUAAAGCGCGUGUAGGCGGCCAUGCAAGUCGGAUGUGAAAGCCCUCGGCUCAACCGGGGAAGUGCACCCGAAACUGCGUGGCUAGAGUCUCGGAGAGGAUCGUGGAAUUCUCGGUGUAGAGGUGAAAUUCGUAGAUAUCGAGAGGAACACCGGUGGCGAAGGCGGCGAUCUGGACGGUGACUGACGCUGAGACGCGAAAGCGUGGGGAGCAAACAGG
rnacentral:rRNA from 1 species